UUUCCGUAGGUGAACCGGCGGAAGGAUCAUUACAGUAGUCGCCCGGGUUACCGCCAGGCCACCCGGGACACCUACCACCCGUGGAUUAUUACACUUUGUUUCUUUGGCAGGCCUCCCCCCGAGCUCCUGGCUCCGGCCUGCGUACGCUUGACAGAGGACCUAAACUCUGUUUGUCUAUACUUUCUCAGUACCAGAUAAUUUUGAACACUUUCAACAACGGAUCUCUGGGUAUUGGCAGCGAUCAAGACGCAGCACAUCGCAAGAGCGUACGUCUGAACU
rnacentral:misc_RNA from 1 species